rnacentral:rRNA from 1 species
UACGAAGGGGGCUAGCGUUGUUCGGAAUUACUGGGCGUAAAGGGUUCGUAGGUGGCUUGUUAAGUCAGACGUGAAAUCCCUCGGCUCAACCGGGGAACUGCGUCUGAGACUGAUGAGCUCGAGUGCAGGAGAGGAACGCGGAAUUCCAGGUGUAGCGGUGAAAUGCGUAGAUAUCUGGAGGAACACCGGUGGCGAAGGCGGCGUUCUGGACUGCAACUGACACUGAGGAACGAAAGCCAGGGGAGCAAACGGG